rnacentral:rRNA from 1 species
AGUUUGAUCCUGGCUCAGAACGAACGCUGGCGGCGUGGAUUAGACAUGCAACUCGAACGAGUUUCGUUUGGUAGCAAUACUGAGCGAAGCUAGUGGCGAACGGGUGCGUAACACAUGAGUCAUCUGCCCGAAAGUGGGGAAUAGCUCGGCGAAAGCCGGAUUAAUACCGCAUGUGGUCAGGCCUUUGGCCGGACCAAAGCCGGGGCAACCUGGCGCUUUUGGAGGAGCUCGUGGCCUAUCAGCUAGUUGGUGAGGUAAUGGCUUACCAAGGCAACGACGGGUAGCUGGUCUGAGAGGACGACCAGCCACACUGGAACUGAGAUACGGUCCAGACACCUACGGGUGGCAGCAGUCGAGAAUUUUUCUCAAUGGGGGAAACCCUGAAGGAGCGACGCCGCGUGGAGGAUGAAUGCUUUCGGGUUGUAAACUCCUGUCAUUUGGGAACAAGGCCGUACGUUAACUGCGUGGA